rnacentral:rRNA from 1 species
UCAAGCUACUAAGGGCAUACGGCGGAUGCCUAGGCGCCAUCAGCCGAUGAAGGACGCGGUAAGCUGCGAAAAGCUACGGGGAACUGCAAGCAAGUAUUGAUCCGUAGAUGUCCGAAUGGGGAAACCCACCUGCCGUCAUGGGCAGGUAUCCGAAAGGAAGGGAACCCGGGGAACUGAAACAUCUAAGUACCCGGAGGAAGAGAAAUCAAACGAGAUGCCCACAGUAGCGGCGAGCGAAGAGGGCAGAGGGCAAACCGGUGAGCUACGGCUCGCCGGGGUUGAGGACUGCAUUUAGUCUCAAUGGUCUAUCCGAACUACCUGGAAAGGUAGGCAAUACAGUGUAAAAGCCACGUAGGUUAAAGACCAGAGAGAUGAGCAGUAUCCAGAGUACCACGAGGCACGAGGAAUCUUGUGGGAAGCCGGGGGGACCACCCUCCAACCCUAAACACUGAAUGGCGACCGAUAGCGCAUAGUACCGUGAGGGAAAGGUGAAAAGAACCCCGGGAGGGGAGUGAAAGAGAACCUGAAACCGUAUGUCUACAAGCAGUCGGAGCGAAAGCGACGGCGUGCCUAUUGAAGAAUGAACCAACGAGUUACGUGCACUAGCGAGGUUAAGUGGAAGACACGGAGCCGAAGCGAAAGCGAGUCUUAAGAGGGCGAAUAGUUAGUGUACGUAGACCCGAAACCGCAGUGAUCUACCCAUGUCCAGGUUGAAGCGCAGGUAAAAUUGCGUGGAGGACCGAACCUGUGAGCGUUGAAAAGCUUUAGGAUGAGAUGUGGGUAGAGGUGAAAUUCCAAUCGAACGCGGAGAUAGCUGGUUCUCCCCGAAAUAGCUUUAGGGCUAGCCUCAAGUAGUAAGUAUAGGCGGUAGAGCACUGAUCGGGCUAGGGGCCAUAAAGGUUACCGAACCCUGUCAAACUCCGAAUGGUUAUACUGUAGAGCUUGGGAGUCAGACUACGAGUGAUAAGAUCCGUGGUCAAAAGGGAAACAGCCCAGACCACCAGCUAAGGUCCCCAAUGUCGUACUAAGUGGAAAAGGAUGUGGGGUCUCUAAAACAACCAGGAUGUUGGCUUAGAAGCAGCCACCAUUUAAAGAGUGCGUAAUAGCUCACUGGUCGAGAGACCCUGCGCCGAAGAUUACCGGGGCUAAAGUACGAAACCGAAGCUGUGGCUACGACAUAUGUCGUGGGGUAGGGGAGCGUUCUGUGAGGGCUGAAGUCGUUCUGUAAGGAACGGUGGACUUCACAGAAGUGAGAAUGUUGGUAUGAGUAGCGAAAAGAAUGGUGAGAAUCCAUUCCACCGAAAGCAUAAGGAUUCCUGGGCAACGAUCGUCGUCCCAGGGUAAGUCGGGACCUAAUCCGAGGCAUGGAGCGUAGGAGAUGGACAACUGGCAGAUAUUCCAGUACCGGUAAUGAUUGUUUGAGCGAUGGAGUGACACAGGAGGGCAGGCAGGCAGGAGAUUGGUUGUUCCUGUACAAGCGUGUAGGAUGGGACGCAGGCAAAUCCGCGUCCUGUGAGUCUGAGGCGUGAUGUGGAGGUUCCGGAAACGGAACUGAAGCUGCUGACCCCACACUGUCGAGAAAAGCUUCUAGUUAGAGAAUUACCGCCCGUACCGUAAACCGACACAGGUAUGCGGGGAGAGAAUCCUAAGGUGCGCGGGAGAACCCUCGUUAAGGAACUCGGCAAAAUGUACCCGUAACUUCGGGAUAAGGGUAGCCGCUGUUGUGAAGUCUGAACAGACGGAGCAUGAGGCGGUCGCAGAGAAGAGGCCCAAGCGACUGUUUACCACAAACACAGGUGCCUGCUAAAGAGAAAUCUGACGUAUAGGUGCUGACACCUGCCCAGUGCCGGAAGGUUAAGGAAGGAUGUCCGGAGCAAUCCAAAGCAUUCGACCGAAGCCCCGGUGAACGGCGGCCGUAACUAUAACGGUCCUAAGGUAGCGAAAUUCCUUGUCGGGUAA